rnacentral:rRNA from 1 species
UACGGGGGGGGCAAGCGUUGUUCGGAAUUACUGGGCGUAAAGGGCUCGUAGGCGGCCAACUAAGUCGGAUGUGAAAUCCCCAAGCUUAACUUGGGAACUGCAUCCGAUACUGGAUGGCUUGAAUCCGGGAGAGGGAUGCAGAAUUCCAGGUGUAGCGGUGAAAUGCGUAGAUAUCUGGAGGAAUACCAGUGGCGAAGGCGGCUUUCUGGUCUGUAACUGACGCUGAGGCGCGAAAGCGUGGGGAGCAAACAGG